rnacentral:rRNA from 1 species
UACAGAGGGUGCGAGCGUUGUCCGGAAUCACUGGGCGUAAAGGGCGCGUAGGUGGUGGCUUAAGCGUGCGGUGAAAGCUCGGAGCUCAACUCCGAGUCGGCCGUGCGAACUGGGCUCACUGGAGCAUAGUAGAGGCAGGUGGAAUUCCGGGUGUAGCGGUGGAAUGCGUAGAGAUCCGGAAGAACACCGGUGGCGAAGGCGGAUCUCUGGGCCAUUACUGACGCUGAGGAGCGAAAGCGUGGGGAGCGAACAGG